rnacentral:sRNA from 1 species
UAUAGUUAGAGAUGAAAAUUUUCUAUUGGAUUGCUUAACAGAGACACGAAGAACUAUA